CUACAUCGUACAAGCUACAUCACUGCAGCCGCGGAAGGACAAGAUGGAGUCAUCCUUUUGUCCACUUUGACGACAUUUUGAAAGUCCUAUACUCCACGCAUCCAUUUUUUUUCUUGUUUUUUUAAACCUGUUGUUGGCUGCGUACUGGCUGAGGUAGUAGUUUGUGCUGUUGUUUGGGUUGUGACUGUGCCCGCUAUGGAGAUGACUGCGCAAGCUACUGCCUUGCUAGUGCUAGCCUCACGCUCCUCGCCGGGAAAGAAGCCGCCGUUUCCCCUCUCGCCUUUUGACUCAAUUUCCAGCGAAUGGCCGCCCACGGGAGGGGGAUGAGGCCGUGUCAUCGUUAUCCAAUCUGGACCACACACGCAGAGGAGGUGUGUCGAGUCCGAUCAGUACUGACGUGACCGGAGGUGGACGCGGCGGUGGCAGUGUGUGGUGACCAGAUGGCCCUCCAGCUCCCACGGAGAAACAUCUCAUCUUGACCACUUCAUUAGUUCUUGUGCAAGAGAUUGCUCAAGCUGCAAGAUCAAGUUUGUCACGGCCCAGCUUCCAGACGAUCCGGUGAUGCGAUAGCAGCGGUGCGUGCCCACCAUUGUUCCGACAAGCACCUCUUACAUGCUGCGAGAGAAAUGCCGGGCAGAGAGCGUGACGUCCGUUCAUGCGUCAUGGCGAGUGAGCGCGCACACACGCACCGGAUCUUUGACAAAUUGAUUAAUGUGCCAGCGUGAUAAACUCCCGGUGAGCACAUUUCGCUCACAUUUCAAAGUUCCUGGGUUUGAAUCUCGGCCUCAGAAUUCCUAUGUGAAGUUGAAAUGUUCUCCGGUAAUCUGAAUGAGGCCAAGCGCUCCAGAAAAUGGAUGGUUGGCUAUUACGAAAGUUUGUGGUAAAUCUUCCAAAGUGAAGCCUGGUUAAGCGCCAGAGCGUAAAGGAUGUCACUUUGGAUCAAAGCCAUACUCGCUGAUCCAUUCUGAGCUAUCUCGGUUAAGUGUACCGAGCGCACAGUAAGCGUGCGUAGAAUAAAAAA